rnacentral:tRNA from 1 species
GGUAAAAUGGCUGAGUAAUAGCAUUAGACUGUAAAUCUGACUACAGGGGUUUUAAUCCUCUUUUUACCA